rnacentral:rRNA from 1 species
ACUCCUACGGGAGGCAGCAGUGGGGAAUAUUGCACAAUGGGCGCAAGCCUGAUGCAGCCAUGCCGCGUGUAUGAAGAAGGCCUUCGGGUUGUAAAGUACUUUCAGCAGUGAGGAAGGUGGGUAUGUUAAUAGCAUAUUCAUUUGACGUUAGCUGCAGAAGAAGCACCGGCUAACUCCGUGCCAGCAGCCGCGGUAAUACGGAGGGUGCGAGCGUUAAUCGGAAUUACUGGGCGUAAAGCGCAUGCAGGUGGUUUGUUAAGUCAGAUGUGAAAGCCCGGGGCUCAACCUCGGAAUUGCAUUUGAAACUGGGCAAACUAGAGUACUGUAGAGGGGGGUAGAAUUUCAGGUGUAGCGGUGAAAUGCGUAGAGAUCUGAAGGAAUACCGGUGGACGAAGGCGGCCCCCUGGACAGAUACUGACACUCAGAUGCGAAAGCGUAGGGGAGCAAACAGGAUUAGAUACCCUGGUAGGACUCU